rnacentral:lncRNA from 1 species
GGAAGUGGUCCCUUUUUCCCCUUUGCUUCCUCCAGCGGCUUCAUGUGAUCCACCGGCAAGGGAGGACACCAAUGGAAGGUGUCUGAUAAGGUGCUGGCCUACAGGGUGAACUCUGAAAAGUCACAUGGAUUGCAAUCAGGUUACCCUCUCGAGAGUCACCUAAUUAGCUCUUUACAUCAAUGAACUUCUCAAUUCACUAUUGAUGGGUUGGUCUAUACCCUGCUGUGGUUUCUCAGCAGCCCAUCAAAUUAAAAAUGUCAGCAUGUUCUCUGGAGGAUGGUGGACAAUGAAGUCAGCCCAAUCCAAGGCUAAUAGAGCAAUGGAAUGGUCCAUAGUGAAGCAAUGCUGAA